UAUACAUCCAGUGUUGACAAAUCUGAAACGAAUCCUGAGUGAAUGUGACAUACUUUGUAAACGAAUUUGAUGGUGGGUACGAAAUGCAGAUGCUACCUAUGAAUUGUCAAUGUCAUCACACUUGCUUUAUAUUCUGUAAAUGCUUAAAAGUUCCAUUGUUUUGAAAGAAACCUGUAUAGUGCAGUAGCUGUCUCAGCGAGG
rnacentral:lncRNA from 1 species